rnacentral:rRNA from 1 species
AUGCUCACGUCCACAAACUACAUCGAGUGGUCUCUCGUGAUGAAGGUGCACUUGGAGUCUUGGGGGCUCUGGGACGCGAUCGAGGGCAACCCACAUCAUGUGCGUGACGACAAGACAGUGCUCGGCGUGCUGUUCCGAGCCGUCCCGCCGGAGAUGCUUGGCGUCCUCGUCGUCAAGGCGACGACGAAGGAGCCCUGGGACAUGAUCAAGGUCAUGCGCAUGGGGGUGCAUCAUGUGCGCGAGGCGACCGCGCAAGGGCCGCACAUGGAAUUCAAGCAGAUCGCCUUCCGCGACGGCGAGACCCUCAACGCCUUCGGGAUGCGGAUCACGAGCCUCGUCAACCAGCUGCGCACCCUCGGCGACAACGUGGAAGAGGUACGAGUUGUACAAAAACUCUUGCGGGUUGUCCCUUCUCGCUACGCAUAG